UACGGGGGGGGCAAGCGUUGUUCGGAAUUACUGGGCGUAAAGCGUACGCAGGCGGUUUGCUAAGACAGGUGUGAAAUCCCCGGGCUUAACCUGGGAACUGCGCUUGUUACUGGCAAGCUAGAGUGUGGCAGAGGGGGGUAGAAUUCCAGGUGUAGCAGUGAAAUGCGUAGAUAUCUGGAGGAAUACCGAUGGCGAAGGCAGCCCCCUGGGUUAACACUGACGCUCAUGUACGAAAGCGUGGGGAGCAAACAGG
rnacentral:rRNA from 1 species